GAUGAACGCUGGCGGCGUGCCUCAAACAUGCAAGUCGAGCGAGGCUAUGAGUUACCGCAAGGUAAGGCAUAGCCUAGCGGCGAACGGGUGAGUAACACGUGGGUAACCUACCUGGAAGACAGGGAUAACGAUUCGAAAGGGUCGCUAAUACCUGAUAAUAUCCAUCUGCCGGAUGGCGGAGGGAAGAAAGGGGAAACCCGCUUUCAGAUGGGCCCGCGUCCCGUCAGCUAGUUGGUAAGGUAAAGGCUUACCAAGGCGACGACGGGUAGCCGGUCUGAGAGGAUGUACGGCCACACUGGGACUGAGAUACGGCCCAGACUCCUACGGGAGGCAGCAGUUGGGAAUCUUAGGCAAUGGACGAAAGUCUGACCUAGCGACGCCGCGUGAGGGAAGAAGGCCUUCGGGUUGUAAACCUCUGUCAUGGGGAAGAAGGAAGUGACGGUACCCAACGAGGAAGCCCUGCUAACUACGUG
rnacentral:rRNA from 1 species